GAAUCUGUAGUUUAUGUGAAAACUUAUCGUUUACACCGAUAUAAAAGAUGGUUGUUAUCUCGGAUUUA
rnacentral:tRNA from 1 species